GGCCCCAUCGUCUAGUGGCCUAGGACACAGCCCUCUCACGGCUGAAACAGGGGUUCAAAUCCCCUUGGGGCUACCA
rnacentral:tRNA from 1 species